ensembl:lncRNA
GUGCGCGGGGCCCGGGCGGCUCGGGGCUGGCGCCAGGCAGGCAAGAGAGACGCAGGUGAGAAGCGCCGAGGCUUCUCACGGCUGCCGCUGCAGGGUGAAGAUUCUCAGGAUCGCAGUUCCGCGCCCGCGCCACCGCGCUCUCUACCCGUGGCCAGACUCCAGCCCUUAUAUAGCAGCCGGGCCGCGGCAGGGCGGGCGGGGCGCGCGAAAGGGGCGGGGCGGGGCCGAACUGCUUCCCGGGAGAUGGAGUUCUGUCUAAAAGCCCCAGAUGCUGGGAAAGAUCGCAGGCAGGAGGAGAAGGGGACGACAGAGGAUGAGAUGGUUGGAUGGCAUCACCGACUCAAUGGACGGAAGCACGCAGCCUUGACUGCCAGUGGCCGUCAUUUGCACCCAAGCCGGUGACCAGCCUCAGGAUGAAGGCAUCCCUGGUGCUGGGAGAGCUGAAAUGAAAGAACAGGGGUCCCCGGUAACAUCACUGAUCCUCCACUGAACCCACUGGUCCCAGAGUCUGUCUUACCACUAGACCUCUAAGUACGUGUCUUCACCGUUUAACUUCUCCUGAGUUAUGUCAGGGAGGGUUUGCGUCACUCACCCAGAAGGUAUCUCUGACUAAACAGUCAUGUUGACUGCUCCAGGCUGAAGUCUGAAUGCCUAGCCCACUCUGGCACCAACUCUGCUGUGUGCUCUUGGAGAAGUGACUCAACCUUCCUGGACCUGUUCACUCCAUCUCAAACAUGGGGAAAAUUUUUCCUGUCCCUCCUUAUUUUGCAAGGUGACUUUGAAAACCAGUGCAGGGACUUCCCUGGUAGGCC